GUGAAGUGGAACUACAAAGUUGCACAAAAUGUAUUUGUAUGCAACGAAAUGUGUGACAAAAACAUGUGAAAAGACAAAGAUGAGGGGAAGGGGGAUGACAUGAAAAACGCUGACAAGAAAACAAUUGUUGUGAUGUGCAGAUUAUGGAGUUAUUGUCGGGAAAGACUGGGAUAUGUGUCUGUAUGUGAGUGCUUGCAUCUGUUGAUGAGAGGAGGGCAGUGAAUGACAGUGAUAAUGUUAAAGCUGAGUACCACAUAACGAAAAAUGGAAGAAAAAAUUAAAGAACAAAUAAAAUAGAAGAAAGGACAGAAAAAACGUACACUAUCGUCUCUCAAUAAUUAUACUUUAUAACAGUAUUUGAGUUAAUGUACUUAUAAUACUCCACAGCUGGUUGGAAGUUUUUUAUUGAAGUGAGUAUGCAAGAGAUAAAUGGUGGAAACAGCGCCACUCUGCCAGUCAGUGUUCAGCAGCCCCCAUUAGCCUGUCUGGUGGAGGACAGGUGAGGUCACCUUGGUUAGCAUGUUCGUGAAAAACCAAUCUCUUUGAGAGGUCACGACGCUGAAAAAAUACUGAAAUAAAGCAACUACAUGGUGACCUGACACCAAUGAAACCAUAAACUGUCGGCUGCAACCUUACUCAAAUGAAACAAGAGCGUUGGGUUAGCAGGAGUUCCAGAGGUUUUUAAUGGGAACAGAUUCCGUGCUUUUGUUUGCCGUGAGUUAGCUACAGUAGUUAGUUGUUAACUAGCGACGGAGCAAAGAUUUCUGGACUUCAAAGUGAAAAACAAGAGAUUUAAAAUUGCCUGGACCUGAGCCUGUUUCUACAAGUGGAGGUGGAAGACGUGGAUGUGGACACAGCCAAAAAAUAAAUUUGCAGACGUCUGUGAUAAUUGAGCACUUGGCCUCCAUGACAGAUGAGGACUUCAAACAUAGUAGGAUGAUGAAUCUCUAACAGCAAAGACAAGGAGUUCUGGGAAACAAAUGAAACAUCAGAUUGAGGCAGAUCCAGAGUGUGGGAGAAAGGAAGUUGCUCCGUCUGCUGUCACAACAACACAACACACCCCAGAGAGUGAAUAAUUGAUAUGAUACCUCACCUCGACAGGGUCAGGAGCAGGGGAAACAUUCCCUCCAGCUCAACUUGCCGAUGCAUCCAUCUCCUCCAUGUUAACACUGACAAGUUGUUUCCUCACUUAGGAGUUACUUUACUCCACUCCCUGAUCUGAUGGACUCCUGUUGGACCGUGUCCUCUCUUGGGGAGGCAGCACAAACGUUGCGUAUUGACGAGUUUUUAAAAAUAUGCAUAGAUCCUAUGUACCCAGCAGACAGAGUGUAAUAAUGAGAAACAAGAGGCAAUUUUCUCCUUCAUCUAACACCAUGCAUUCAAGCAGAGAACAGCAUAUCAUGUUGUGCUGAUACAGAUUUCAGCCCCAAGUAAAAAAAAAAAAAACAUGUAUAUGUGCUGGCCUUUGCUUGACGUGGUGAAAGUUGCAAAGGCCUCCACAUCAGAUAUGACUACAGUACACCCUCACUAAAGUAUCCACAUGUACAGCAACAAUAAUAAGUUAGGACCAAAACAAAAAUGCAUCUCUCUUGUCUUACACGAGAUCUACACCUCUUCUAAAUUGGUUUACACAGUCUUUUAUGGCCCCAUGCUGUGCAGUUUAUCAGAUAUUUGCCUUUUAAGUGGAAAUGUGCAUUUUCUUCAUUUUUUUGUAUGGUGAUUUCUUAUUCCCGUGGUGUUUUAGAGAUUGUACAGUCUGUCCAGAACAGCACGGCGCCUUCAAGUAGGGCUUUUAUUCACUGUGUUCAUGGACUGAAUCCAUUUGAAUAAACUGCUUCUGAUUUGUAAUGUGGACAUUUUCCCAAAGCGUAACAGAUAUUCAUGACAUACACUGAUGUUUUUUAAAUUGCACGAGCCCAUGGAAGCAACUUUUUAAUUUUGACGAUCUGGUUUUAUGGUUGGUCACACUUCUAAUUUUCACUAUACUGUACUACAGUUAUAGUGUAAGGCUUUUUUUUUUUUUAGAAGUGCUUGAUGGAUGGUCCAGUUAAAUUACAGUGACCUGAAUCAACCCUAGUAGCAUCUAUAUAAUCUCCUUUCAUUAUCCUAUGUAAAUCUAAGCAGACUAUUCUCUAUGUAUGCUCUCAGUACAUGCACAUAAAACAGCCCUGAAUAUAGAUAACUUACUAUCCAUACAAUAUUUAUUCCUGCAAUCCUUGUACUACUCCAUAGUAUCAAACGAACCUGUAUAGUCUGUUGCCCAGCUCGUAUGUAUUAGAUAUAUUUUAGUUAGUUAAGCUUGUUAUUGUUGUUCAGCUGUAUGUGUUUUGUAUUCCUCUGUACAUUUGUAUGUAAGUAUAUUGAAAACCAGAGAUAAAUUCCUUUUAUGUGUCAACAUACUUGUUGUUGGUACUGAUAGUUGCUAAGCAUGACUUUGUAAUGCAAAAAAGGAAAAGAAAUAUGUCAGUUUUGAAUUGAAACAAGGCAACUUCUCAUGGGUUGACUUCUGCUGCAUGGCCUUCAAAUUCACUCAGGAAGCUCAUGCCAAAGAUUUAUUAAUGCUGAGCUUGAUAUGGACAGAGGUCUCCACCAAAUGGCGCGUACAUAAGCACAGUUUUAUUGAAUGCAGAUCUGGCUUCUGUCAACCUCACUCAUGACCUUUUGGAUUCGGAGCCACCGGUCCAUGCUGCUGCCCUGAUCAAUAUCUACUCUAGCAAGGAGGCUAACAAUUAAAAGCUGGUUCUCAUACAGACAAGAAAGGUGCUCUACCGAGAUUAAGUCAUAUAUUAAAAGCAUAUUAUUCAUAAAUUUAUCAGAAUGUAUUAAUAUUAACAGUUUAGGAAAUUUCUGCUAUAAUUUAUAGAUGUCAGAUUUUAUUUUUUUCAAAAUUCGUUAAUAUUUCUCAUCAUAGGCAGUUAUGUUUCAAACCCACCAAACUCAAUUAAUCAGCACAGUAAUUGCUAAUCACAGUCACUUGCUUCUGGUCAUAGCAACAUGGUUGUACGCACUGUGUGCACUAAUCCACUGUUGUGAGGAUGUGGAGAUGGACAGAUGUGGCAUCUCCAGCUUUUUUUAAGGAGUUUUUCAGCUGAAGUGAUUCAGACUUCAGCUUCUGGAAGUCGUGGUGCCUCUUCCUUUUUCUCCAGCUUUCCAGUUUUACACAAAAGUGCAUACUUGGAUUAGCGGGGUCAGCUAAUCAGUCCUAAUUUGGCCUGCCAGUUGGACACUCUUGAACGUAGUCCCAUUCAGAGCUCAUGUUGUCUGAGCUAGCUUCAUCAUCAUCAUCUCAUGCUCCAGGUCUGCUUUUAAAUGAUCUGAUUCAUAAAUGGCACAAAAACAAAUUCCUCAUCAGCAGAUUUAGAGUCAUCAAAACUCUUGAGUAUCAGAUGAAUUCACACAGGUGCUGCAGCAUCAUGCUGCUGUGACAGUAAGUUAAUAUAAACCAACGUCUUCAUCACUGUGUUUGUAUUUAUUCAUAGUAACAGUGAGACAACAACGCACCAUGAGGUCGAACUUGUAUCCAGCAUCCCAUUGAAAAAAAGGAAACGCUCAAACAAGUCCGUCGGGUUUAAUUUAAGGGAUAUCAAGGAGCUGAGUGCUUAGAAUUAUUAAAUUAAAUUAAAUGCUGAGAAUUGUUUAGACAGGAUGUAAUAUAGUCCCAGGUUGCUUAAGCCCCUAGGUGUGCUGUUCAUCUAAGGGUUAAACGCACCUCUGCUACCAAUAGUACAUAUUCAGUAAAUCUUUCAGUGACCAUCUCACAUUUGCUUAUAGUUUCUGCCCUGCAGGUGCUUUAAUGGUUUUCCCCUUCUGGCCUUAACAUUAUAUUUAAUGGCAGUAAUGUUCCAGCAGACAUAAUCCACCGACUACGAGUCAUAUUACAGAAAAUCAGCCAUGAUUAUGAAAAUGACUAUUUUCAAAUCACAGUUGCAGUUCAGUCCUGGGUAAAAAUGAGUUGAAAUAACUGACCACUUACAAAAUCAACAACUGCUGCUGUUUCUGUUUUUCCCAGAACAGCAGCAUAAUUGACACUAUUCAAAAUCAAUACAGCACUAAUUAUGUUCUUUCCCUUUUCAGUGCAGUGAUUAAGAGAAGAAUCAUGAGUGAACCCUUCAGACAUGUAAUUAUCGUUCUCUUCACAUGACACUGUCGAUAGUUCAGCGAGGCCCUUUAACAUUUUAGACCUAAAAACAGAUACACUCUCAGCAAAAUGUAAUGAUCUGCACUUUUUUAUUUUCUUUUAAAACCUCGACCCUCGAAAAGGAAAUGAAUAGCCGAGUCACCCUUUAUACAAUACAAAGAAGAUAAUUCCUCUUUAAACCACUUCAGAGUAAUCUGUGAAGAUUAUGGCCCUUUUUCUGUCCAAUUUCAUUUAAAACAAAAAACAAAAAAACAAGUAGUAGAUUAAGCUCAGUGUUUACAGUCUCUGAGUGUGAGAGUUUGCAGGGCUGACAUUCAGAGCUCAGAACCACUGAUGACGUGGCGAACAUGCUAUAAAAAUGAACAUCAAUGUGAACCUUCAUUACGACAAAGCUACGUGACAUGACACUGUAUAUGAAAUGUAAUAUUCAGAAGGUCAGCUAUACGCUGGAGUCCGUUUUUCUUUUGUUCAUUUGGUUGUCUGAUUCAAUCUACUGUUUCUGUAUUCUUUAAUAUUAAAGGCCAAUACAUCAUUUAAACUCAAAUUAAAGCAUAUGCUCCAUCCAGCAUAUUUGGGCUGUUGUAACACUGAGUACACACAACACAACAUACAACCAGAUCUGUGCGGGGAUUAUGACUCCAGUUAUUCACUGCGGCUCUUUACUAGUCCAGGACACAGGCGGAGGUUUAAUCAACCACGAAACUGGUUUAUUUACUCUCUCAUUUACCCAGUGUAAGCACACUAUGUACACGCUAUACUGUUCUUUAAAUCUCAGGCCUCUCCUCCCUGCAAACAAACUGGUUAAUGUGGGUGAGAGUUAAUGGGUUCAGGGAUCAUUCAUUUUCUCAUCAGGCAAAACGCUCUGCUCCAUCAGAUAUAGAUUUACUUCAUCAAAGCAGCAACUAAUUUUAUUGCUCUGGUUGAGGAUAUGGUCCAAAAUACUAAAAAUUAUUUUUUUUGAGAGAGCAGAUCACAUUUUAAUUUCAUAAAGCAAUUAAACAUUGAUGUUAAAACUGGACUAAAACAAUUUCUCCACAUUUUCUGUUUAGUAGCUGUUCUUUAGUUUCUUUAGCUUUUGAUCAUAUCACAUGAUCUUCAUCAGGGAAUGGAGUUUGAUCAGUCAUCAAGGAAGUGUAGACUGGAUGAUUUAGAUUCUUUGGUUACAUUUAACCAUUGUUUCAACAGCAUUUUACUUACUAUAUUUUAAUGUGCAACUAGAACCUGCUUGACAGUGAAAUAUAGUCAAUUAAAUGCUAUUGAAAUUUUUACCUAGAUAACCUAGAUGACCUUAACUGACCAAUCGGUGCUAACUGGGUUGGGCAGUAUAUAUUUUCUUAUUAUUAUUGUUUGCAUGUUGAAAUCAUGACAGAUACUAAAAUAUCAAUUCAAGCUUAUUUGAUUUAAAUAAAUAAAAGCAAUGUAAUGAAAAUGCACCCAUCUUUACUGAAUUUCAAAGCGAGGCUGCAAGAGACAAGAGCAACCUAUCACUAUUAGUUGAUAUGCUACACAUUCAUGUUAAAAUUAAUUAAAAAUUUUGGGGAAUAUGCUGUGUCACUUUUUUACUGAGAGUUGAAUGAGAAGAUCGGUGCCGCUCUUUCAUGUGAUGCUGGAGCCAGAAGCCGGUUAGCUUAGCACAAAGACUGGAAAUGGGGAAACAGUCAUUCUGGCUAUGUCUACAGUCUAAAAAACUCAUUAAUUAAAUGCUUGUUUGUGUACAAAAAACAAUUUCUUGUUUUACGGGGACUUACGUUACCAUAAAUUCAGGUAUAGCUGUGACAAGUUUGACAAAUCUACUUGAAAGCACAAUGUUAACUGUCUCCUAAACAGCAAUAGAUUACACCAGAGCUGGGCUUAUCACUGUUUGAUCUUUCAGUAAUACAGUGCUUACAGACUACCCAGACGGACAAACAUGACCGUGCUGUUUGUGGUUGGUGUCACUUCACAGGAUUUCUGGGAACUCGCCUCAAUAUUUCAAACCGUUGCCUCCUGCUGCUGUUUUUGAAGUAGCAGUGGCUGACACAACAUGUUGCCCUCUGGUCUCAAAAAUUCUUAUCUACAGAUUUGUGCGCAUGAUUGUCAUCUUUGACCUCGGAUGUGAUGAAGUGCAGACGGCCUCCAACGAAUGCAUGUGGGUGGUUUCUUUUUUUUUACUAUGACGCAAGAGAUUGAAAACAUGCAUUGGGAGUCAAAACAGCAACUUUUAGUUUAUAUUGACUUUUGCCUCAGAUUUUUUGUUUAAACUGAUGAUGAUAGCACACAUUAUUUAGCAGAGAAUUUAACUUUGUAUUCAUAUCUGUAAAAUAAACACAAAAGACACCACGUUGCCACUAGACAACUACUCAUGUUUCCACUCAGUUGUGCUGGGAUUUUUAAAACAUUUUUUAUCCAUGUUUAAGGCUCAUCUGAUAGAGAUGUGCUCUCCAAUAACUCCUUUGCUUGACUGAAAGGAACUGACAAACACCAAAAACCUGAGCUGAAUGAUGAAUGAUGUUUUCUAGUAAAGUCUAACUGCACACUCAGUGAAGAGGUCCCACGGCAUGAGUCAAGGCUGGGAGUGUUGAGAGCUGAAUUUCAAACACCUCAGUAGCACCUCCACUUUUAUUGCAGAGCCUCUGUUUCCACUUAAACCCACCACUUCUCUAGAAUCCAUACAAUCUAACUGGACAUGCCAGGAUUCAUUAAAGUCGUGUGAGGCAGUGUGAUGGUUGCUAAAUUAACACAUUAGCGAGUUGAAAUUGCUAGUAGAGUUAAGACAAAACUUGAAUGGCUGAUGCAAACGCUCCUCAGAGAUGUAAAAUCCAUUACAUGGUCAUAAGUAACAAGAAAUUAAAGUUCCAGUGAACCUCAGUCUCAUUAUGGAAAUGUUGUUGAUGGUUUGGUCAUUAGGGCGGUAACUCGCUCAUUUGAUCCAUCAGCUAAAACCCCGGUGUGCAGCCCACCACUAUCCAGGUUAAAUUGAAUGUGACGUGUCAAGUCGCUACGGUUACCGACACUGAACUCUCAAUUACACCAUUCGUGUUUGUCCAACCAGGGGCGGUUGAAAAGAAGGGAGAGAUGCACAGACUUAUACUGCAAACUAAUUUUAAUGGAUCUGUUGGUUACAUAAAUGACGCUGAUCGUGAAGAGUAUACUUGAGCAGUGAUGUGACGUGGGAAGAAAAGCAGGAGGAGGGAGUGCCUGAGUAAAACAUUUUCUUUGCACAAAUACAAACCAUGUGAAACCUGACCUGGGAGAAAUUUAGCUUUUGUCAUUGGCCCAAAUGCUUUCACUUGAGUUCAAACACACAUAAAGUUUAUCAUCAAACAUUGUUCUGAGAAACGCUCCUGUAACAGCUUUCUGUUGGUACAAUAAAAACCCUUCAGCUGUGUCAUUGCUGGUCUGCUCCAAAUACGGCAUGUCCGUACGAAACACUCCCUCAUCUAUUGGGAAAUAUCCUGAUUAGUCUCAAACUUGAGGAAUAAGGUUGCCCUCCUCUUCUUCACAAGGCAUACAAACACUUGAAGCAUAAUAUCAAGUUCUAGUCAAACAAAGCUGGCAUCCAGUUUAUGCUUUUGCUUCUGCAACAAAAUUGAACACAUUUCUACUCACUUUUAUGUAAAUAUUAUUUUGUUCUUUAUGGUGAUGAUAAUAUUCAUCUAAAUCUUCUUGAGAGCCUCUAAGAUCAUCUAGCGCAUUUAGCUAACUCGACUAAUGAGAGCACAUCUACAUGUUUUACAAAGCAAACUAGGCCAGUUAGAAUUAGAAAAUAUAGCAAAUUAUUAAUACAGAUUACAGUUGCAGAUGCAUUAAGUACAGAGAUAUAAAACUUUCCAUUUAGAGGCUGGUCUGUGCAUCAAAACUAGAAGGCAGCCUGAAAAACACAUUAUUUAUAGCAAGAUUAAAUAAACUAUUGUGUGUGGUCUUCUUCUGCAAAAACUUAUACUGUGUCAGUCUUGACUGAAUAGGACUUUUACCACAUUGAUGCCUUCCAAGUUAUAACGAAACACAUACAAACAUGAAAACAAGCAAAACCAGCUGAAGAUAAAUAAUAUUACAACUGAUGUUCUAGUAAAACAGGCAUUAAAAAGAUUCUCAGUAAUGUUAAUUGUUCAGAGAUCAUAUGAUUUGUAUUUUCUU